CAGAGAUUAUUGGGCCUAAGCAUCCGGUAGCUCGUUCUGUAAGUUUUCGGUUAAAUCCAUGCGCUUAACGUAUGGGCUGCCGGGAAUACUGCAUAACUAGGAAGUGGGAGAGGUASACGGUACUCGGUAGGAAGGGGUAAAAUCCUUUGAUCUAUUGAUGACCACCUGUGGCGAAGGCGGUCUACCASAACACGUUCGACGGUGAGGRAUKAAAGCUGGGGGASCAAACCGGAUUAGAUACCCGGGUAGUCCCAGCUGUAAACUAUGCAAACUCGGUGAUGCAUUGGCUUGUGGCCAAUGCAAUGCUGCAGGGAAGCCGUUAAGUUUGCCGCCUGGGAAGUACGUACGCAAGUAUGAAACUUAWAGGAAUUGGCGGGGGAGCACA
rnacentral:rRNA from 1 species